GACGAACCUUGCUAACGUUAUUCGGAAUUACUGGGCUUAAAGGGUGCGUAGGCGGCGCAGAAAGUAGGGUGUGAAAUCCCUCGGCUCAACCGAGGAACUGCGCCCUAAACUACUGUGCUCGAGGGAGGUAGAGGUGAGCGGAACUUAGGGUGGAGCGGUGAAAUGCGUUGAUAUCCUAAGGAACACCGGUGGCGAAAGCGGCUCACUGGACCUCUUCUGACGCUGAGGCACGAAAGCUAGGGUAGCGAACGGG
rnacentral:rRNA from 1 species